rnacentral:misc_RNA from 1 species
GGAAGUAAAAGUCGUAACAAGGUUUCCGUAGGUGAACCUGCGGAAAGAUCAUUAAAGUUCUAGUCCCCCGGCCCCUCCGGGCUAGGGUCUUCUAUACCACCCUUUGUUUAUUACACCUUUGUUGCUUUGGCAGGCCUGCCCUCGGGCUGCUGGCUCCGGCCGGCUCGUGCCUGCCAGAGGACCUAAACUCUGUUUGUAUAUGAAGUCUGAGUACUAUAUAAUAGUUAAAACUUUCAACAACGGAUCUCUUGGUUCUG